GACGAACCGAGCGAACGUUGUUCGGAAUCACUGGGCUUAAAGGGCGCGUAGGCGGGCUGCCAAGUUUGGGGUGAAAUCCUCCGGCUCAACCGGGGAAGUGCCUUGAAUACUGGCGGUCUGGAGGGAGGUAGGGGCGUGCGGAACUGUAGGUGGAGCGGUGAAAUGCGUUGAUAUCUACAGGAACUCCGGUGGCGAAGGCGGCACGCUGGACCUUUUCUGACGCUGAGACGCGAAAGCGUGGGGAGCGAACAGG
rnacentral:rRNA from 1 species